GACGAACGCUGGCGGCGUGCUUAACACAUGCAAGUCGAACGGAAAGGCCUCUUUCGGGGGGUGCUCGCGUGUCGAACGGGGGAGUAACACGUGAGUAACCUGCCCCUUUCUUUUUGAUAUCUUCAGGAAACAGUGGCUAAUACACGAUAUGAGCUCCUGCGGCAUGGGGGGGGGUGGAGAGAUUCUGGGGGUGUGGGGGUGGUCGCGGCGCAUCUGAGUUUGUUGGUGGGGGGGGGGCUUACCGAGGCUUUGGGGGGUAGCCGGCCUGAGAGGGUGACCCGCCACAUUGGGACUGAGGUACGGCCCAGGAUCCCACCGGGGGCCACAGUGGGGAAUAUUGGACAAUGGGUGGGAGCCUGAUGCCGCAACGCCCUGUGCGGGAUGACGGCCUUCGGGUUGUAAACCGCUUUCGCCCAUGACGGAGCUUUGUGUGACGGUAGUGGGUAAAGAAGCACCGGCUAACUACGUG
rnacentral:rRNA from 1 species